rnacentral:rRNA from 1 species
GUCUAUAUGAGUAAAUAAUAUAUAGUCUGGCCUGCCCACUGGUGAAGAUCUAAAGGGCCGCAGUAUCUUGACUGUGCAAAGGUAGCAUAAUCAUUAGUCUUUUAAUUGAGGACUUGUAUGAACGGUUGGACGAGAAAUAAUCUGUUUCUUUUGCAAAUUUUGAACUUAACUUUUAAGUGAAAAGGCUUAAAUAAUUUAGAGGGACGAUAAGACCCUAUAAAUCUUAAUAUUUUAUUAUUAAGUAUUUUUUUAAUUAAGUUNNNNNUAUAGAUGCUUAAUAUGAUAGUAUUUUACUGGGGCGGUAUAAAUAAAAAUAGUAACUGUUUAAUUUGUAUUCAGAAAUAUCUGGUAAUUAAUAGAUCCUUGUUUAGAGAUUGAAAGUUUAAGUUACUUUAGGGAUAACAGCGUUAUUUUUUUUAAGAGUUCAUAUCUAAAAAAAAGUUUGCGACCUCGAUGUUGAAUUAAAUUNNUCUUUGUNGGUGUAGCANCUACANNNNGGAGAAGCUGUUCGACUUNUAAANNUUUA